rnacentral:rRNA from 1 species
UACGGGGGGAGCAAGCGUUGUUCGGAUUUACUGGGCGUAAAGGGCGCGUAGGCGGUCAGCACAAGUCAGUUGUGAAAUCUCCGGGCUUAACUCGGAAAGGUCAACUGAUACUGUGCGACUAGAGUGCGGAAGGGGCAACUGGAAUUCUUGGUGUAGCGGUGAAAUGCGCAGAUAUCGGGAGGAACACCGGUGGCGAAGGCGGUUCUCUGGGCCUGUACUGACGCUGAGGAGCGAAAGCGUGGGGAGCGAACAGG